UACGGAGGGUGCAAGCGUUAUCCGGAUUCACUGGGUUUAAAGGGUGCGUAGGUGGGUUGGUAAGUCAGUGGUGAAAUCUCCGUGCUUAACAUGGAAACUGCCAUUGAUACUACUGGUCUUGAAUUUUCUGGAGGUAAGCGGAAUAUGUCAUGUAGCGGUGAAAUGCUUAGAUAUGACAUAGAACACCAAUUGCGAAGGCAGCUUACUACAGGGACAUUGACACUGAGGCACGAAAGCGUGGGGAGCGAACAGG
rnacentral:rRNA from 1 species